GAUGAACGCUGACAGAAUGCUUAACACAUGCAAGUCAACUUGAAUUUGGGUUUUUAACUUAGGUUUGGGUGGCGGACGGGUGAGUAACGCGUAAAGAACUUGCCUCACAGCUAGGGACAACAUUUGGAAACGAAUGCUAAUACCUAAUAUUAUGAUAAUAGGGCAUCCUAUAAUUAUGAAAGCUAUAAGCGCUGUGAGAGAGCUUUGCGUCCCAUUAGCUAGUUGGAGAGGUAACGGCUCACCAAGGCGAUGAUGGGUAGCCGGCCUGAGAGGGUGAUCGGCCACAAGGGGACUGAGACACGGCCCUUACUCCUACGGGAGGCAGCAGUGGGGAAUAUUGGACAAUGGACCGAGAGUCUGAUCCAGCAAUUCAGUGUGCACGAUGAAGUUUUUCGGAAUGUAAAGUGCUUUCAGUUGGGAAGAAACAAAUGACGGUACCAACAGAAGAAGUGACGGCUAAAUACGUG
rnacentral:rRNA from 1 species